GGUUGCGUGGCUCAGUGGCAAGAGCCUGGGCUUGAGAGUCAGAGAUCAUGGGUUCGAAUCCCGGCUCUGCCA
rnacentral:tRNA from 1 species